GUGCUCACUUUGGCAACACAUAAACGAAAAUUGGAAUGAUACAAAGAUUAGCAUGAUCCCUGCUCAAGGCUGACAUGCAAAUUUGUGAAUUGUUCCAUAUGUUU